ACACAUGCAAGUCGAGCGGCAGCGCGGGGGCAACCCUGGCGGCGAACGGCGAACGGGUGAGUAAUACAUCGGAACGUGUCCAAUAGUGGGGGAUAACCAGUCGAAAGAUUGGCUAAUACCGCAUACGAUCUACGGAUGAAAGCGGGGGACCGCAAGGCCUCGCGCUAUUGGAGCGGCCGAUGUCCGAUUAGCUAGUUGGCGGGGUAACGGCCCACCAAGGCGACGAUCGGUAGCUGGUCUGAGAGGAUGAUCAGCCACACUGGAACUGAGACACGGUCCAGACUCCUACGGGAGGCAGCAGUGGGGAAUUUUGGACAAUGGGCGCAAGCCUGAUCCAGCCAUGCCGCGUGAGUGAAGAAGGCCUUCGGGUUGUAAAGCUCUUUCGGCGGGGACGAAACGGUUCGUGACAACACCACGAACUAAUGACGGUACUCGCAGAAGAAGCACCGGCUAACUACGUGCCAGCAGCCGCGGUAAUACGUAGGGUGCAGGCGUUAAUCGGAAUUACUGGGCGUAAAGCGUGCGCAGGCGGCUCCUUAAGUCAGAUGUGAAAGCCCCGGGCUUAACCUGGGAACUGCGUUUGAAACCGGGGGGCUAGAGUGUGGAAGAGGGGGGUGGAAUUCCAGGUGUAGCAGUGAAAUGCGUA
rnacentral:rRNA from 1 species